GUGAACGCUGGCGGUAGGCCUAACACAUGCAAGUCGAACGGCAGCACAGUAAGAGCUUGCUCUUACGGGUGGCGAGUGGCGGACGGGUGAGGAAUACAUCGGAAUCUACUUUUUCGUGGGGGAUAACGUAGGGAAACUUACGCUAAUACCGCAUACGACCUACGGGUGAAAGCAGGGGAUCUUCGGACCUUGCGCGAUUGAAUGAGCCGAUGUCGGAUUAGCUAGUUGGCGGGGUAAAGGCCCACCAAGGCGACGAUCCGUAGCUGGUCUGAGAGGAUGAUUAGCCACACUGGAACUGAGACAGGGUCCAGACUCCUACGGGAGGCAGCAGAGGGGAAUAUUGGACAAUGGGCGCAAGCCUGAUCCAGCCAUACCGCGUGGGGGAAGAAGGCCUUCGGGUUGUAAAGCCCUUUUGUUGGGAAAAAAAAGCAGCAGGUUAAUACCCCGCUGUUCUGACGGUACCCAAAGAAUAAGCACCGGCUAACUUCGUG
rnacentral:rRNA from 1 species